CCUACGGGAGGCAGCAGUUGGGCGCAAGCCUGAUCCAGCCAUGCCGCGUGUGUGAAGAAGGCCUUAUGGUUGUAAAGCACUUUAAGCGAGGAGGAGGCUACUCUAGUUAAUACCUAGGGAUAGUGGACGUUACUCGCAGAAUAAGCACCGGCUAACUCUGUGCCAGCAGCCGCGGUAAUA
rnacentral:rRNA from 1 species